rnacentral:rRNA from 1 species
UACGUAGGGGGCUAGCGUUACUCGGAUUUAUUGGGCGUAAAGCGAAUGUAGGCGGUUUGGUAAGUCAGAGGUGAAAGCCCUCAGCUCAACUGAGGAAUUGCCUUUGAUACUACCGAACUUGAGGACAGGAGAGGAAAGUGGAAUUCCCGGUGUAGCGGUGGAAUGCGUAGAUAUCGGGAGGAACACCAGAGGCGAAGGCGGCUUUCUGGACUGAUCCUGACGCUGAGAUUCGAAAGCUAGGGGAGCAAACAGG